rnacentral:rRNA from 1 species
GACGAACGCUGGCGGCGUGCUUAACACAUGCAAGUCGAACGGUAAGGCCCUUCGGGGUACACGAGUGGCGAACGGGUGAGUAACACGUGGGUGAUCUGCCCUGCACUUCGGGAUAAGCCUGGGAAACUGGGUCUCAUACCGGAUAGGACCACUGCCUGCAUGGGUGGUGGUGGACAGCUUUUGCGGUGUGGGAUGGGCCCGCGGCCUAUCAGCUUGUUGGUGGGGUGAUGGCCUACCAAGGCGACGACGGGUAGCCGGCCUGAGAGGGUGACCGGCCACACUGGGACUGAGAUACGGCCCAGACUCCUACGGGAGGCAGAAGUGGGGAAUAUUGCACAAGGGGAGCAAGCCUGAUGCAGCGACGCCGCGUGAGGGAUGACGGCCUUCGGGGUGUAAACCUCUUUCAGCACCGACGAAGCGCAAGUGACGGUAGGUGCAGAAGAAGGACCGGCCAACUACGUGCCAGCCGCCGCAGUAA